rnacentral:rRNA from 1 species
AUUGAACGCUGGCGGCAUGCCUUACACAUGCAAGUCGAACGGCAGCACGGGGGCAACCCUGGUGGCGAGUGGCGAACGGGUGAGUAAUGCAUCGGAACGUGCCCAGUAGUGGGGGAUAACCAGUCGAAAGAUUGGCUAAUACCGCAUACGACCUACGGGUGAAAGCGGGGGACCGUAAGGCCUCGCGCUAUUGGAGCGGCCGAUGUCUGAUUAGCUAGUUGGCGGGGUAAGAGCCCACCAAGGCGACGAUCAGUAGCUGGUCUGAGAGGACGACCAGCCACACUGGGACUGAGACACGGCCCAGACUCCUACGGGAGGCAGCAGUGGGGAAUUUUGGACAAUGGGCGCAAGCCUGAUCCAGCCAUGCCGCGUGCGGGAAGAAGGCCUUCGGGUUGUAAACCGCUUUUGGCAGGAACGAAACGGCGACCUCUAAUACGGGUCGUUAAUGACGGUACCUGCAGAAUAAGCACCGGCUAACUACGUGCCAGCCGCCGCAGUAAAAC